GAGUUCCAUGGGCUGUACAGGACAAGGUGUCACACUCUGCGCAGCACAGGGUGUCACACACAGCCCAGGGUGUCACACACAUUCCAGGACAGUGUCACACACUGCCCAGGACGGUGUCACACACAGCCCAGGGUGUCACACACAGUUCAGGACGGUGUCACACACAUUCCAGGACGGUGUCACACACUGCACAUGGUGUCACACACAGUCCAGGACAGUGUCACACACAGCCCAGGACGGUGUCACACACAGCCCAGGGUGUCACACACAGUUCAGGACGGUGUCACACACAGCCCAGGACAGUGUCACACACAGCCCAGGACAGGGUCACACACUGCACAGGGUGUCACACACAGCCCAGGACAGGACGGUGUCACACACUGCACAGUGUGUCACACACAGCCCAGGAUGGUGUCACACACUGCACAGUGUGUCACACACAGCCCAGGACGGUGUCACACACUGCCCAGGACAGUGUCACACACAGCCCAGCACAGGCAGAGCCCGGGCAGCUCC
rnacentral:lncRNA from 1 species